UACGUAGGCAGCGAGCGUUGUUCGGAGUUACUGGGCGUAAAGGGUGUGUAAGCGGUUCUUUAAGUUUGGUGUGAAAUCUCCCGGCUCAACCGGGAGGGUGCGCCGAAUACUGAGGGACUAGAGUAUGGGAUGGGAAAGUGGAAUUCCUGGUGUAGCGGUGAAAUGCGUAGAUAUCAGGAGGAACACCAGUGGUGUAGACGGCUUUCUGGACCAUAACUGACGCUGAGACACGAAAGCGUGGGUAGCAAACAGG
rnacentral:rRNA from 1 species